rnacentral:rRNA from 1 species
GACGAACGCUGGCGGCGUGCUUAACACAUGCAAGUCGAACGGAAAGGCCCUGCUUUUGUGGGGUUCUCGAGUGGCGAACGGGUGAGUAACACGUGAGUAACCUGCCCUUGACUUUGUGAUAACUUCAGGAAACUGGGGCUAAUACCGGAUAGGAGCUCCUGCUGCAUGGUGGGGGUUGGAAAGUUUCGGCGGUUGGGUAUGGACUCGCGGCUUAUCAGCUUGUUGGUGGGGUAGUGGCUGACCAAGUCUUUGACGGGUAGCCGGCCUGAGAGGGUUACCGGCCACAUUGGGACUGAGAUACGGCGCAGACGCCUAACGGAGGCAGCAGUGGGGAAUAUUGCACAAUGGGCGGAAGCCUGAUGCAGCAACGCCGCGAGCGGGAUGACGGGCUACAGGUGGUAAACCGCUUUGGACUGUGACGAAGAGUGAGUGACGGUAAUGGGUAAAGAAGCAACGGCUAACUACGUG